rnacentral:rRNA from 1 species
CCUACGGGUGGCAGCAGUGAGGAAUAUUGGUCAAUGGACGCAAGUCUGAACCAGCCAUGCCGCGUGCAGGAAGACGGCUCUAUGAGUUGUAAACUGCUUUUGUACGAGGGUAAACGCAGAUACGCGUAUCUGUCUGAAAGUAUCGUACGAAUAAGGAUCGGCUAACUCCGUGCCAGCAGCCGCGGUAAUACGGAGGAUUCAAGCGUUAUCCGGAUUUAUUGGGUUUAAAGGGUGCGUAGGCGGGCGGAUAAGUUAGAGGUGAAAUCCCGAGGCUAAACUUCGGAAUUGCCUCUGAUACUGUUAGGCUAGAGAGUAGUUGAGGUAGGCGGAAUGUAUGGUGUAGCGGUGAAAUGCUUAGAGAUCAUACAGAACACCGAUUGCGAAGGCAGCUUACCAAGCUACUUCAGACGUUGAGGCACGAAAGCGUGGGGAGCAAACAGGAUUAGAUACCCCGGUAGUC